rnacentral:rRNA from 1 species
UACGGGGGGGGGCAAGCGUUGUUCGGAAUUACUGGGCGUAAAGGGCUCGUAGGCGGCCAACUAAGUCAGACGUGAAAUCCCUCGGCUUAACCGGGGAACUGCGUCUGAUACUGGAUGGCUUGAGUUUGGGGAGAGGGAUGCGGAAUUCCAGGUGUAGCGGUGAAAUGCGCAGAUAUCAGGAGGAACACCGGUGGCGAAGGCGGGUCUCUGGGCCGUAACUGGACGCUGAGGAGCGAAAGCAUGGG